rnacentral:rRNA from 1 species
AGGCAGUGGCGGGUGCUUACCAUGCAGUCGACGGUAAGGCCCUUCGGGGUACACGAGUGGCGAACGGGUGAGUAACACGUGGGUGAUCUGCCCUGCACUUUGGGAUAAGCCUGGGAAACUGGGUCUAAUACCGAAUAGGACUCCGGACUGCAUGGUCUGGGGUGGAAAGCUUUUGCGGUGUGGGAUGGGCCCGCGGCCUAUCAGCUUGUUGGUGGGGUGAUGGCCUACCAAGGCGACGACGGGUAGCCGGCCUGAGAGGGUGACCGGCCACACUGGGACUGAGAUACGGCCCAGACUCCUACGGGAGGCAGCAGUGGGGAAUAUUGCACAAUGGGCGCAAGCCUGAUGCAGCGACGCCGCGUGGGGGAUGACGGCCUUCGGGUUGUAAACCUCUUUCAGCACAGACGAAGCGCAAGUGACGGUAUGUGCAGAAGAAGGACCGGCCAGCUACGUGCCAGCAGCCGCGGUAAUACGUAGGGUCCGAGCGUUGUCCGGAAUUACUGGGCGUAAAGAGCUCGUAGGUGGUUUGUCGUGUUGCUCGUGAAAACUCACAACUCAAUUGUGGGCGUGCGGGCGAUACGGGCAGACUGGAGUACUGCAGGGGAGACUGGAAUUCCUGGUGUAGCGGUGGAAUGCGCAGAUAUCAGGAGGAACACCGGUGGCGAAGGCGGGUCUCUGGGCAGUAACUGACGCUGAGGAGCGAAAGCGUGGGGAGCGAACAGGAUUAGAUACCCUGGUAGUCCACGCCGUAAACGGUGGGUACUAGGGUGUGGGUUUCCUUCCUUGGGAUCCGUGCCGUAGCUAACGCAUUAAGUACCCCGCCUGGGGAGUACGGCCGCAAGGCUAAAACUCAAAGAAAUUGACGGGGGCCCGCACAAGCGGCGGAGCAUGUGGAUUAAUUCGAUGCAACGCGAAGAACCUUACCUGGGUUUGACAUGCACAGGACGCCGGCAAAGAUGUCGGUUCCCUUGUGGCCUGUGUGCAGGUGGUGCAUGGCUGUCGUCAGCUCGUGUCCUGAAAAUGUUGGGGUUAAGUCCCGCAACGAAGCGCAACCCUUGUCCUAUGUUGCCACCGGGGUUAUGCCCGGGGACUCG